GCCCGGAUGGUGGAAUCGGUAGACACAAGGGAUUUAAAAUCCCUCGGCGUACGCGCUGUGCGAGUUCAAGUCUCGCUCCGGGCACCA
rnacentral:tRNA from 4 species